CCUGGUCUCGCGAAUGCCNUAGGACUUAAGUUGAUCAUGGCUCAGAGCNGAACGCUGUUAGGUAGGCCUAACACAUGCAAGUCGAACGGCAGCACAGGAGAGCUUGCUCUCUGGGUGGCAGAGUGGCGGACGGGUGAGGAAUACAUACGGAAUCUACUCUGUCGUGGGGGAUAACGUAGGGAAACUUACGCUAAUACCGCAUACGACCUACGGGUGAAAGCAGGGGACCUUCGGGCCUUGCGCGAUUGAAUGAGCCGAUGUCGGAUUAGACUAGUUAGGCGGGGUAAAGGCCCACCAAGGCGACGAUCCGUAGACUGGUCUGA
rnacentral:rRNA from 1 species